GAGGGGGAAAAGCACAGCGACUGUCAGAAGCAACCACAAGGUACAGGGAGGUUAACGGGAACCGCAGAGAAAUAGGAAGCUCAAAGUUUUGAGGGAAAAGACAACGAACGACACAUAACACACAUGCGUUUAUGCACAAAAUUUGCUGCUUUUUAACUAUUUUGACUUGUCGAUGGUGUUUAUUCUGCUCGGAAGCGAGACAGGGUGACGAGGUGCUAUUGCAGUGAUACAGAAGGUGCAAUGUUCGUGUGCCGGACUCAAGGCUAGGGAAGCGCAGAAGAUAGAGACCACGAUGUUGGAUCGCCACCAUCAACACAGUGAAGGCAAGGCAACCCCAUGGACAAACAUACACAGACCCAAAGCCCGAGCGGAGAGACAUGUGGAGGACGAGAGUGGAGGGAAGCAUGCGCUCAGGCUUUCGAAGAACCAGCGGACGAUUGGUGACGCAGCAGUUGUGAUGAGAGUGGAUUACGCAGCGUGGGAGUUCCAGUAACACCGUGUUCGUGCAUGUGUGCAUCUGCGUGAAGGCUUGCAGUAACCACAAGACUAGGGAAGGUUGCGCUGUGGCACCAAAUUUCUGUUUAACUUUUUUCUUUACGCUUCAAGCAUCAUAAGAAACAAUGUGAAUGUCAUUUUGAGGUUUUGCCCAAUGGAAUCGUCAAAAGCAUGUUCUACUGACGGAGAGAGUUGUGGUGCAAAUGCAUUCAGAAUGACUGCCGUCUUCCUGAUGUUAUCUCAUCUGUUUGCUUUGAUACAGGCUGAAUCACCUGGUUCGUCAUGAGAGCCAAAGUGCCUAAGUGGUCAUAAAUCUCCUUCCUAGCACUCUCAUAACAGGCCAGGUGAUUCAGGCUGUAUCAAAGCAAAUCCCCUUUAGGCUGUCUGAAAAUUGUCAUAGUCCUACCUGUGACCCCCCCCAACCCACUUCUACGCACACGCUUACGUAAAGUUCUCGUGGUUAGACUGCAGAAACAUCAUUAGGGCUUCAUUGUCAAUGAAUUGCAAAGGUGUGUGAGCCUGCGUGAGUUUAAAUGAGGGUUGAGACAUCGUUGUAAUAACAGAAGGAUUAACAAUCCUAAUUAACUCCCUCCUCCCACUUUUGUCAAACAAUGGCACCCCAAAUUCAACUAAUCCACAUUGAGUUUCUAAGAACCUGCUCCAAUACACACACACACACAUACACACUUCGGGCCUAGUACUGCACAUAAAUUGAAAAUUUAAACUG